UUAAUCUUUUUGUGCUUGACGAUGAUUAAAAUAGUUGGCUAGUUGAUGACAAAGACUGAUUAUGAUUAAGUGCACUUUGCUAAAGCUUCACUUAAGCUUCAAGUUUCCAUGACGAUGAUGUAAAAAAAUAAAGAUGAUACACACAAAAGGAGAUGAUUCUGGUGUCUUCAAAAGGAUGAUGAUUGUGGUGAUGAUGAUCAAGUGUAACAAUGAAGCAAUAAUUCAAAGGCGAUGAUGAAAAGCAUUUAAACUUUAACCAACAAGGUUCAUCCUAAAUGAAUGGGACACCAAAUAGCAGCAAACUGAUGAUAAACGUUACGUUUCGUUCAAGUCAACAUUUUGUAUUAAAUAGUUAGACCAUGGUUUUGCUUACAGAAUGUUAAUCAUUAGGAAGAGAGAGAGAAAAAAGAAGAUGAAAGUUACUUUAGAUUAUCUUCUAUCUUUCCAUCUCUCUUUUUUCGUCUUUUCAUCUAUUUUUUAAGUAUUAGGUGUAAAAAGAAUCUAAACUAUUUGACCUGAAAAACGCGGAUAUAACCUGAACCAUUGAGAGAUAUUUAACAUCAUGUUACUUCAUCUUCUUCAUUUCUCUUUCUCUAGUUUUCUCUUUCACACUUUUCCUCUCAUCUUCUCUUUUCUUCUUCUUUUUCAGAUGUAACUUUAAUUCUGCAAGUAGACAUUUCUUGUGUGUUUCCAAGCAAAGGAACCAAAAAGGAUGCGGCAAUCUAUUCAAAAGCUCAUUCUCGCGGAACGACAAAGAUCCUUAUGAUUAGUUACCAAUGAUGAAGAUGAUGCUUCAAAUUUGGUGAUAUCAAGCCUUGGAUAGCUUUUUGCAAGCAAAGAUGAUGCUACAAUUUUUACAUGUGUCAACUUGUGAAAUAUAACAGUUAACUUGAUCAUCAAUUAUAAUUCUGAACCUCAUUCAUAUCUUGAUACCUCGAUUGGUUAAUUGAAUGUCGAUUGUGAACAAAUUUCAAGUUUACAUUCCAGUUUCCAAAUUUCUCCUUGCAUUUAACUUGCAGUUAUAAGGAAUGGAGCAAACUAAAACACAAACCUCAAAUUGUUAACCACUGAAUAUGCUAAAGGCACAUAAACACACAAGAAGAAGAGGAAAGCUGAUCAAGACUAUCAACAACAAACGCUUACAGGCACAAGAAGAGGAGUCCAAAAAUAAAAAAGCUGAUGAAUAAGAUGAUGACUAGGACGAUGAGUCAAAGGAUGAGAAAAGUGAUGAACAGUUUUACAUCAACAGAAGGAGUUUUUUAGGAACCAUUUUCAACACCAAUGUGACACAAUAAGUUGACACAUUGAUGCAGUGUGACAAGAGUUAACCCAACCUUGUACUCAACAAAUACAACUUUUCAACUGGCAACAAACAUUUAUACUGAAAUGAAUAUUGAGAGGACAGAAUUGGCGGAUCAAGAAUGCAUAACCUGAUAAACUGUAAUAUAUGUAUUUAUAAUAAUCACACUGAUUAUAGUUGAAAAAAGGAGAAGACUUAAGUCUUGGAUAAGAAACAUUUGUAAAGCUUAGCUUAAGGGCUUUGCUUUUUGGUCUUUGCCAUCUUUUCAUCCUUUUGAUCAUCUUCUUCUUCUCAUAAUCUCUCACCUCUCACGGUGUUUAAUGCGCCCCAUCAGGUUGACCUUUAAAAAGCUUAAGCUUAGCAAGGGAUGGUUUUUGCUGGAGUUAUCAUUAUGCUUAUUAUUCCUCAUCUCUGGUCAUGUCAAGCAACAUUUGCCAGCAACAGUAUCAUCACUCUAAACCCCGCAAUUGGCGUUUUAAUUCUUAACCAUAUUCUUGCUCUCAUCUUGAAAUCAUCAAAUAAGAUUGUCUCUCAUUUAAUUUGAUAACUUUGCUUUGCUUUGAAACAUUAUUAAGGAUAAUAACGCAAUACCAGAAGCACGGGUGUGCCAUUCAAUAAGCAUGAUCAUCUUCAUCUUCAUCAUCAUCUUUAAUUUAUAUCAGUGAAACAUUCACAGAAAAUUUGGGUAACUCUGAGAUUAUUUUGAGUUUUUUUUCUUCUCUCUCAUUCUCCUCUUUCUGCUUUAAAAAACACCUUUAGGCGUUAUCAUGAAUUGAAAUUUUCUGAUCAAAUUGAACCAGAAACAGAAUGUCAUUUUUCUUGUUCCAAUGGAUCAUGAUAAUGAAGAGUAAAAAAAGCGUUUA